rnacentral:rRNA from 1 species
GACGAACGCUGGCGGCGUGCUUAACACAUGCAAGUCGAGCGGAAAGGCCCUUCGGGGUCCUCGAGCGGCGAACGGGUGAGUAACGCGUGAGUAACCUGCCCCAGACUUUGGGAUAACCCUCGGAAACGGGGGCUAAUACCGGAUACGACACAGCUUCGCAUGGGGUCUGUGUGGAAAGUUUUUCGGUUUGGGAUGGGCUCGCGGCCUAUCAGCUUGUUGGUGGGGUGAUGGCCUACCAAGGCGACGACGGGUAGCCGGCCUGAGAGGGCGACCGGCCACACUGGGACUGAGAAACGGCCCAGACUCCUACGGGAGGCAGCAGUGGGGAAUAUUGCACAAUGGGCUGAAGCCUGAUGCAGCGACGCCGCGUGAGGGAUGACGGCCUUCGGGUUGUAAACCUCUUUCAGCAGGGACGAAGCGUAAGUGACGGUACCUGCAGAAGAAGCGCCGGCCAACUACGUG